AGUGAACGCUGGCGGUAGGCCUAACACAUGCCAGUCGAACGGCAGCACAGUAAGAGCUUGCUCUUACGGGUGGCGAGUGGCGGACGGGUGAGGAAUACAUCGGAAUCUACUUUUUCGUGGGGGAUAACGUAGGGAAACUUACGCUAAUACCGCAUACGACCUACGGGUGAAAGCAGGGGAUCUUCGGACCUUGCGCGAUUGAAUGAGCCGAUGUCGGAUUAGCUAGUUGGCGGGGUAAAGGCCCACCAAGGCGACGAUCCGUAGCUGGUCUGAGAGGAUGAUCAGCCACACUGGAACUGAGACACGGUCCAGACUCCUACGGGAGGCAGCAGUGGUGAAUAUUGGACAAUGGGCGCAAGCCUGAUCCAGCCAUACCGCGUGGGUGAAGAAGGCCUUCGGGUUGUAAAGCCCUUUUGUUGGGAAAGAAAAGCAGCAGGUUAAUACCCCGCUGUUCUGACGGUACCCAAAGAAUAAGCACCGGCUAACUUCGUG
rnacentral:rRNA from 1 species